rnacentral:miRNA from 1 species
GCGGGAGAGGGAGGCUGUUGGGCAGGAGAUGAGGAAGAACUCUCUGCUCGGUCUCGCUCCAG